GAAAAUACCCUUACUUGCUUAGCAAAUGGUCACAUCUCCUUUCUAAUUGUUAGGGUUUCAAAAAUUGAAUUUCACUCCUUUAUCCACCAAACUUUUGUGAAAAAUAUUUCUCUCUCCUUCCAUCGUUUGUAAUUCUUUCAAAAUAUCUACAUCUUCAACAAUCACUUCUCUUUCUCUACUAUGUAUCUUGCUUCGCCUUCUCAACUACACCAACGAUCAAUCUAUCAUAUCCGAGAAAAAUCACAGAGAGAUCUCCAUAUACCGGUUCUAAGAGGGAGUUUGCUAUGCAAAUAAGGAUUUCAAUUUAGCAAAGCACCCAAAGAUGCAUUAUUACUGGUUUUUGACUAAUGAUGAAAUUGAGCUCCUCAUUACAUAUCUCUAUCUUCCACUUGAGGUUGUUCCAGCUACUUUGAAGAAACAGACUAAGUCGGUUAGUAGGCAAUUCGGUGGUCCACCUGGUAAUUGCCCUAGAGGCCCACUUGACUUGAAGGAGAUAGGAGAUUUGGCGAUUACCAUGGUGGUCCAAGUCCCAGAGGACCCGGUGGCAAGUUUGGAGGAGACAAGGGUGGAGCUCCAGCUGACAGCACACCAUCUUUUGGGGUGAUAUUAUUGAAUCAUGUAUUCUUUGGAAUGUUUUGUUUCCAUUGAUUUAAAAAAUUCAUUUAUUUGCAUUAUGAUUUUAUUCCAUUGAUUUUUUAUGGUUAUGGUGCUUGGGUUAGUUUUGUUAGUAUAUCUCUACAUGUUAUAUUUGAAAACCAUAGUUUGAGUGACCAGUUUCUUUCUGCUUCAUAUUUG